rnacentral:rRNA from 1 species
UAGGGAAUCUUCCACAGUGGACGAAAGUCUGAUGGAGCAACGCCGCGUGAGUGAAGAAGGUUUUCGGAUCGUAAAGCUCUGUUGUUGGUGAAGAAGGAUAGAGGCAGUAACUGGUCUUUAUUUGACGGUAAUCAACCAGAAAGUCACGGCUAACUACGUGCCAG